AACGAACGCUGGCGGCAGGCUUAACACAUGCAAGUCGAGCGCCCCGCAAGGGGAGCGGCAGACGGGUGAGUAACGCGUGGGAACCUACCCUUUUCUACGGAAUAACGCAUGGAAACAUGUGCUAAUACCGUAUACGCCCUACGGGGGAAAGAUUUAUCGGAGAAGGCAGGGCCCGCGUUGGAUUAGCUAGUUGGUGGGGUAAAGGCCUACCAAGGCGACGAUCCAUAGCUGGUCUGAGAGGAUGAUCAGCCACAUUGGGACUGAGACACGGCCCAAACUCCUACGGGAGGCAGCAGUGGGGAAUAUUGGACAAUGGGCGCAAGCCUGAUCCAGCCAUGCCGCGUGAGUGAUGAAGGCCCUAGGGUUGUAAAGCUCUUUCACCGGAGAAGAUAAUGACGGUAUCCGGAGAAGAAGCCCCGGCUAACUUCGUGCCAGCAGCCGCCGUAACAC
rnacentral:rRNA from 1 species